GCUGGGUGCAGUGGCACACACCUGUAAUCCUUGAUUCUUGGAGGCUGAGGCAGGAGGAUUUCAAGGCCAGCCUUUGCAAUUCAGUCUCAA
rnacentral:sRNA from 1 species